UUAAUUAAAACCAAAAUAGAGGUAUAUCACUGUUAAUGAUAAAAUUGGAAUAAUCCUAAUUAAA
rnacentral:tRNA from 1 species